rnacentral:rRNA from 1 species
GUUGAACGCUGGCGGCAGGCUUAACACAUGCAAGUCGAGCGGGGUGAUGGUGCUUGCACUAUCACUUAGCGGCGGACGGGUGAGUAAUGCUUAGGAAUCUGCCUAUUAGUGGGGGACAACAUCUCGAAAGGGAUGCUAAUACCGCAUACGUCCUACGGGAGAAAGCAGGGGAUCACUUGUGACCUUGCGCUAAUAGAUGAGCCUAAGUCGGAUUAGCUAGUUGGUGGGGUAAAGGCCUACCAAGGCGACGAUCUGUAGCGGGUCUGAGAGGAUGAUCCGCCACACUGGGACUGAGACACGGCCCAGACUCCUACGGGAGGCAGCAGUGGGGAAUAUUGGACAAUGGGGGGAACCCUGAUCUAGCCAUGCCGCGUGUGUGAAGAAGGCCUUAUGGUUGUAAAGCACUUUAAGCGAGGAGGAGGCUCUUCUGGUUAAUACCCAGAAUGAGUGGACGUUACUCGCAGAAUAAGCACCGGCUAACUCUGUGCCAGCCGCCGCGGUAACAC